rnacentral:rRNA from 1 species
CCUACGGGAGGCAGCAGUGGGGAAUAGUGCGCAAUGGGCGAAAGCCGGACGCAGCGACGCCGCGUGAGGGAUGAAGGUCUGCGGAUCGGAAACCUCUGGCAGCAGGGAAGAACGGUCACUGGGCUAAUCAGCAGUGAAUUGACGGUACCUGCAAAGGAAGCACCGGCUAACUCCGUGCCAGCAGCCGCGGUAAUACGGAGGGUGCGAGCGUUAAUCGGAAUUACUGGGCGUAAAGCGCUCGUAGGCGGUAUGUCAAGUCAAGGGUGAAAGCCCCGCGCUCAACGUGGGAACUGCCUUUGAAACUGGCAGACUGGAGUGUGUGCGAGGAUAGUGGAAUUCCUGGUGU